rnacentral:rRNA from 1 species
AUACGGAGGAUGCAAGCGUUAUCCGGAUUUAUUGGGUUUAAAGGGUGCGUAGGCGGAUGAUUAAGCGUGAGGUGAAAUGCCACUGCUCAACAGUGGAACUGCCUCGCGAACUGGUUGUCUUGAAUGCUCCUGCCGUGGGAGGAAUGUGUGGUGUAGCGGUGAAAUGCAUAGAGAUCACACAGAACACCGAUUGCGAAGGCAUCUCACGAAGGGGUGAUUGACGCUGAGGCACGAAAGCGUGGGGAUCAAACAGGAUUAGAUACCCUGGUAGUCCACGCAGUAAACGAUGAUAACUAACCGCUGGGUCGUAGUGAUUCAGUGGCCAAGCGAAAGCGAUAAGUUAUCCACCCGGGGAGUACGACCGCAAGGUUGAAACUCAAAUGAAUUGACGGGG